ACCUGAAGAACUAUUUUACCAGAGGAGCAUACAUCCCAAUCCCCUUGAUAUCAGGGACAUGUGACAUGUUUUGGCCAAUGGGAGGGAGCACUGAAUAAAAGGCAUGGCAGAUGGGAAAGCUGAAGAAAGGAGAAACCUUUGAGCUGGUCCUGACUGAGACAUGAACAUACAACCAGAAAAGACCCUGACUCAGAUCAAAUUUGGGCACAAGCAAGAUGACUGGUUCAGAGACAACUCAGAAUAUAACCCCAUUACCAUAAAAGCUAAGGCUGUGAGCCUUGCUGCAGAGAAGUUCUCCUGCAUCACCAUAUCCCACUGCUCUCUGCCCAGACUUCCCUUUCCAAUAAA